rnacentral:rRNA from 1 species
AGAGUUUGAUCCUGGCUCAAAACGAACUCUGGCGGCGUGCAUAAUACAUGCAAGUCGAACGAUAGAAUUUCUGGCUUGCUUAUAAUUCUGUAGUGGCGCAGCGGGUGAGUAACACCUGAGUAACGUCACCCCGAGAGCGGCAUAGCCUUGCGAAUCUGGGAUUAAUACCGCAUAGUGAUCGACAUGAUUAAAGCAGCAAUGCUCUUGGGGAUCGAGCUCGCGGCCUAUUAGUUAUGUUGGUGAGGUAACGGCUCACCACGCGCCAUGACGGAGUAUCCGGUAUGAGAUGGAUGUCCGACCACACUCGACAUGAGACUCGGUCCAGACUACCUACUCGUGGCAGCAGUCGACGAAUCAUUCACAAUGGGCGAGAAACCGUGAUCGUGAGACACCGCGUGGGGGAAGUAAAGAGUCUUUGAGAUUGUAAACCCCUGUUAUGUGGGACGCAAAUUAAAAAGAUAGUACCACAAGAGGAAGAGUACGGCUAACUCUGUGCCAGCAGCCGCGGUAAUACAGAGGUGCUCCAGCGUUGUUCGGAAUCACUGGGCGUAAAGCGUGCGUAGGCUGUCUUAGUAAGUCGUGUGUGAAAGGCGCGGGCUCAACCCGCGGACGUGCACUAUGAUACUGCGAGACUAGAGUAAUGGAGGGGGAACCGGAAUUCUCGGUGUAGCAGUGAAAUGCGUAGAUAUUGAGAGGAACACUAGUGGCGAAGGCGGCUUCCUGGACAUUAACUGACGCUGAGGCACGAAGACCAGGGGAGCGAACGGGAUUAGAUACCCCUGUAGUCCUGCCAGUAAACCGGUGCACUGACUUGGUGUGCGGGGAAUCACCCCCUUCGGUGCCGGAGCCAACGCGUUAAGUGUUCCGCCUGGGGAGUACGGUCGCAAGAUUCAAACUCAAAGAAAUUGACGGGGACCCGCACAAGCGGUGGAUGCUAUGUGGUUUAAUUGAUGCAACGCGAAGAACCUUACCUGGUCCUUGACAUCUAUAUGAACAGCCUGUGAAUCCUCCUGUCUCUUCGGGGGCGAUAUGACGGCCUGGUGCGGCAUUGCUGUGGUCCUCUUGUGUUGCCAGAUGUUUGGUUAAGUCCCCGAUCUCGGGCCACCCCUGUUCCCACUUACCCUCAGGUCGGGCCGGGGACUUUGGCGAGACUGCCCGGAACAACUGGGAGGAAGGUGGGGACGACGUCACCUCAUCAUGGCCCUUAUGCUCUGGGCUGCACACGUACUACAAUGCCCUAAACACAGUGGGCCGAAGCUGUGAGGCUGAGGAAAUCACAAAAAUCAGGUCUCAUUCGGCCUUGAGGCUGCAAACUGCCUUCAACAAGCUGGCAAUUCUAUUAAUGGCGCAUCAGGUAUGGCGCGGUGAAUACGUUCCCGGUUCUUGUACACACCGCCCGUCA